rnacentral:rRNA from 1 species
GACGAACGCUGGCGGCGUGCUUAACACAUGCAAGUCGAACGGUGAAGCGCCUUCCUUUUUGGUGGGUGUGGAUGAGUGGCGAACGGGUGAGUAACACGUGAGUAACCUGCCCCCUUCUUCUGGAUAACCGCAUGAAAGUGUGGCUAAUACGGGAUAUUCUGGGUCUGUCGCAUGAUGGGUCUGGGAAAGAUAUUGUUUCGGUGGGGGAUGGGCUCGCGGCCUAUCAGCUUGUUGGUGGGGUGAGGGCCUACCAAGGCGGUGACGGGUAGCCGGCCUGGGAGGGUGGACGGUCACACGGGGACUGAGACACGGCCCAGACUCCUACGGGAGGCAGCAGUGGGGAAUAUUGCACAAUGGGCGCAAGCCUGAUGCAGCGACGCCGCGUGAGGGAUGGAGGCCUUCGGGUUGUGAACCUCUUUCGCCAGUGAAGCAGGCCUGCCUCGUUUGUGGGUGGGUUGACGGUAGCUGGAUAAGAAGCGCCGGCUAACUACGUG